UGUAGAAAUAGGCCAGGCGAGUGUGUAGAAGGCCAGGCGAGUGGGAACAAGACUGAAUUUGGUAUUUUUAUCUUCUAAAUCAGUCAGCUGUAUGAGACUGGAUAUUUCUUUUAGGAUUUUCUUUAUGCUUCAGGAGGAUCCCAAUAAGCAGCAAGUGGGUAGAAGGGAAUUUAGGUUUACUGUUUAAUAUACAAUUAUAUUAAUGUAAUUAAUAUUCAUAUUUUUGUGUUUAGAGAUGCUUUUUUUUUCUUAAGUGUAACCUGUAGGUAUCAACUUUUUUUUUGCAUAUCCCAAAAUAGGUUCAUCUGAAACAAUUUUAUUAUUAUGCUUCACAAAGGCUGCUGUAAACACAGUGGAUAACAUUUGGUAAUUUGGUUUGGCUCCUGAUGGAAAUACUGCUGUUAAAAUAAAUCAGAAAAUUGUAAAUGCAAAUGGAACUUUGCUAAUUUUAAAAGCUGUUAAACGGUGGAACACUGAUUAAAAACUUGAUCAGUGGAGUUAUGACCAUAAGAAUGAGUUUUCCAUUAGAUCAGGGGUCCCCAACUCCAGGCCUCGAGGGCCGGUGUCCUGCAGGUUUUAGAUCUACACACCUGAAUCAAAUGAUUAGCUCAUUACCAAGCCUCUGGAGAACUUCAAGAUAUGUUGAGGAAGUAAUUUAGCCAUUUGAAUCAGCUGUGUUGGAUCAAGGACCCAUCUAAAACCUGCAGGACACCGGCCCUCGAGGCCUGGAGUUGGGGACCCCUGCAUUAGAUGGAUGGGGCCAUGCCUUCAUUAGUCAAAAAUUUCUUCUAGCAUGGGACUGUUUGUCCUACAAUAGGCAUCUACAAAAGUUCUUUUUCUGUGGCAGUAGUAGAUAAAAGUGUCAAUGUAAUUUAUUGGAAAAUGGAUUAAAUAAAAAUAAAAACAAAAAACGCACAGAAUACAGUGGAAUGAGAUGUGUAUGUCUUACACAAAUUCACCUUUGCCUGUUCCCCUUCCCUCAGGAUGUGUGUCUUGCUCAUAUAAUAUUAAUAUUAUAUGAGCAUUUCGUUGCCUUGUAAAUAUUAAGAUUGCAUAUAAUUUUAGUAAUAGUUGUAAGUAAAUAUUGCAUAUAUGUGUAACCCUGCCAAUGGAGGGUGCCAUCUAGAUUACAUCUGUCAUAUUGUUGUUAACACACAUGCGUUUCACAUAUUCUAUCAUCCUUAUAAAUCAAAGGGGCCAAUUUAAUUUUCAUAUAUCUGUCUGGUAUUCUAGUUCUAAUGUUUAGAGCCAUUGGUGAUAAGAUAAAAUGGAUAAAUGGGCCCUUGUUUACCUAUUCCUUAGGGGGGUGUGUGUGUGUGUGUGUGUGUGUGUGUGUGUGUGUGUGUCUCAACAUUUGACAUGUGGGGUGUGUCAUAAUAAAAUGAUGUAUGCUAUCUUAUAUUACUGGUAAGAACAGGCACAUGGUAGUAGUGGUUGUAAAACUAAGCUGAUUGUUUAAAAAAAAAAAAAAAAAAAGUGUCCAGAUGAAAAUAUUCUGUGUAAUGGUAACAAAAAUCUUUUUACAUAUUGUGUGAGGUUUUUACAUGUUAAAUGGUUUUUAAAUAUGGUCGGCACAGUGAACAAAUUCCUUUUUAAGUGCAGCUCGGGUUUUUGCUAAUUAAUUGACACUAGGGCUGCACGAUUUUGCAUAAAAUGAGAAUCACGAUUAUUUUUUUUUUUUUUUUUUUUUUUUUUUUUGGCUUAGAAUUGAGAUCAGGAUUCUCUCACGAUUUUCUUUUCCAGUAUAAAUAUUUAUUGCACUUAUUAACUGCACAUCAACUUCGUAACAGUUGAAACUGAACAUAAAAACAAUAAAUAAACAUAAAAACAACAAAUGUCUCACGUUUUGUUGUUGCCGCAAAAUGUUGUACUGCUUGAAAUUCCGUCUCCACCGUUGCUCGACACUGCGUGUAUAGAACAGGUAGUGCAACAAUAGAAAAAUA
ensembl:lncRNA